GAUUCUGGCUCAGAACGAACGCUGGCGGCAGGUCUUAGGCAUGCAAGUCGAACGGGUGUAGCAAUACAUCAGUGGCGCACGAGUGAGUAACGCGUGGGAAGCUAACCCAUCACUGGGGAAUAACGUUUGGAAACGAACGCUAAUACCGCAUACGCCCGAAAGGGGAAAGAUUUAUCGGUGAUGGAUGUGCCCGCGUUGGAUUAGCUUGUUGGUGGGGUAAACGGCCUACCAAGGCGAUGAUCCAUAGCUGGUCUGAGAGGACGAUCAGCCACGCUGGGACUGAGACACGGCCCAGACUCCUACGGGAGGCAGCAGCUAAGAAUAUUGGACAAUGGGGGAAACCCUGAUCCAAGCCAUGCCGCGUGAAUGAAGAAGGCCUUCGGGUUGUAAAGUUCUUUUAGUAGUGAAGAUGAUGACAGUAGCUACAGAAAAAGCACCGGCUAACUUCGUGCCAGCAGCAGC
rnacentral:rRNA from 1 species